rnacentral:lncRNA from 1 species
CUUGUAAGCCAGAAUAAGCAGAAAAGGAAGCAUUGUAACUUCUUAGGCAAGCAAUUGAUAUAGUAAAAAUGAAUUAUGUGUUCAUAAACAAUGUAAAAGAUAAAAAACAUUUAUCUGUCACAACUUCCCAACUAUGCUAUUGUGGAUCAAAAGCAGCUAUAGACAAUAUGUAAAUGAAUUAGCAUGGCUGUGUCCUAAUAAAAGUUUAUUUAUGGGGACAGGCGUGGUGGCUCACACCUGUAAUUCCAGCACUUUGGGAGACUGAGGCGGGCGGAUCAUAAGGUCAGGAGAUGAGACCAUCCUGGCUAACACGGUGAA